GCUCCCUUGUCCUUUUUCCCCCCCUCGUCACUGCCUAGAGCUGUAUAAUCUAGCCCCUCUAUUUCAAUAAGACAGUUGUCCUCCGACACAGCCUACCACACUCACUGUGCCUGAGAUCCUGCUCCCUAUCCAGCUCCUAUUCAUCCUGAGACCACUGAUGCACCAUGGCCAGGAUGCUGAAGGAGCGUGGUGGCUGCCAGAGUGAUUGUACUUACUGUUGGAGAUUGGUUCUAACGCUUUGAUUUAAUCAGAAAUCUGCAUGUGCAAAUGCUGACAGUUCUUGUCCCCAAUUGGUUUUUGAUCGAUAGAUAAAGAUGGCGGCAGCCCACGACUGGGCACAGGGAGGUCAGUGGGACCCUUAGAUCUGCACAGGCCAGGACACGGGAGAGAAGAGGAGGGAAGAGGAAAGCCAUGCUUCAGAGAGAGACACAUCAGAUUUACAGCUGCAGAAGGAAAGUCACCCAAAACGUAGGAUCAAAUGAUGUAUGAAGCUCUGCAGAGGUCCCUCAGUCAGUGACAUUUGCGGUACCUGCAUGGAAGUGUCUAGUGUGUGGAACUCACCACGAAUCACACUCGCUCUGAAGGGUCUACUUUCAGCUUGACACAGACGAUCUUAUUGUAAGCAUUUUAUUUUCAAGUAAACCAGGUCAAGCCUU